GGAAGAACGUUCCCUCACACUCUUUACAUUUCCAACACUUAUUAUCAGACAGGUGGUAAAUUUUUGCAAGUUUAACUGGGGUCAUAUACCAUCUAUAAAUCAUUUUCAUUACAUUUUCUUUCAGAGCGUUACAUGCAGUAAAUUUCAAUCCAUUACUCCACAACUUUUCCCAGUCCUCAAACAUAAUAUUAUACCCAAUGUCCUGUGCCCACCUUAUCAUAGCCGAUUUAACCAUUUCAUCUUGUGUAUUCCAUUCCAACAGCAAGUUAUACAUCCUUGAAAGUACCUUAGUCUUUGGUUCUAACAAUUCUGUUUCUAAUUUCGAUUUCUCCACCUGGAACCCUAGUUUCUUAUCAUUUUUAAAAACUUCUUUAAUCUGAGCGUAAUGUAACCAAUCUCGCACUUUAUCUUUCAUUUUCUCCAAACUCUGCAAUUUCCAAUUGUCUCCAUCUUUUUCUAGUAUUUCCCAAUAUUUUGGCCAUUUAGCCUCCAUAUUGGGUCUUUUUCGGGCCUUAGCUUCCAAAGGUGAAAGCCACCUUGGUGUUUUAUUUUCCAGCAAGUCUUUAUAUUUUAUCCAGACAUUAAACAAUGAUUUUCUGACAAUAUGGUUCUUGAAGGCCUUAUUUGCUUUAACUUUGUCAUACCAUAAAUAUGCAUGCCAUCCAAAAACAUUAUUAA